AUUGAACGCUGGCGGCAUGCCUUACACAUGCAAGUCGAACGGUAACGCGGGGCAACCUGGCGACGAGUGGCGAACGGGUGAGUAAUGCAUCGGAACGUGCCCAGUAGUGGGGGAUAGCCCGGCGAAAGCCGGAUUAAUACCGCAUACGACCUAUGGGUGAAAGCGGGGGAUCGUAAGACCUCGCGCUAUUGGAGCGGCCGAUGUCAGAUUAGGUUGUUGGUGGGGUAAAGGCCUACCAAGCCUGCGAUCUGUAGCUGGUCUGAGAGGACGACCAGCCACACUGGGACUGAGACACGGCCCAGACUCCUACGGGAGGCAGCAGUGGGGAAUUUUGGACAAUGGGCGAAAGCCUGAUCCAGCCAUGCCGCGUGCGGGAAGAAGGCCUCGGUUGUAACCGACUUUGUCGGGAGGAAAGUACUUCUGAG
rnacentral:rRNA from 1 species